rnacentral:tRNA from 1 species
GAGUGUUUGCCUGAGUGGUUAAGGGGGUGGACUCAAGAUCCACUGGACACUGACUGCGUGGGUUCGAAUCCCACAGCUCUCA